rnacentral:lncRNA from 1 species
CAGAUAGUUAUCGAUAUCGACUAUUCCACAUUAGUUUGUUAUCGACGUGCCACCAGAAGUAUAAGCGGUUAUCCAGCAGUUGUUAUCCAGUUCAUCAGUAAUUAUCUUCCAGCUAUAUUUUAGCACAUCGCCACUUGGGUAGCCGCCUCAUGAUCUCUAUAUAGCUGGUCAUUCUGUUAUAAUAACUUAACAACUCAACGGCCU